GGGGGUAAGUGAACCUGGAUCUCUUUAGAUCUCUUUUCAUGAUCGAGAUGGUCAUAUCUUCACUAAGGUCCUUGACUUCAAGUGUGACGGUAUUAAAAUGUAUCACAAAGUCUCUCAGCAUCUCUCUUUCACCUUGCUUGAUGGAGAAAAGACUGUCGGAUGUUUGUAGCACCUUUUGGCUAGUAUUGAAGUAGGCUACGAAUAAAUAUUCAAGCUGCUCAAAGAAAUUUAUGCUC
rnacentral:lncRNA from 1 species